UUUUCCAGAUUCGGGGAAGAGGUGAACACUGGCGUCAAGACCAUUUUGGAUAUCCUCCCCGAUCGCCUCCCCGCCAUUGGUUACUAAUCUUCGCUGCACUGCCGCCGGAGGCCCUCCUGUCGUUCUCCGGGAUUCUAGGGUUCUUUGAUUCUAGGGUUCUAUAGACGGGCACAUGGGGAAGCAAGAGCGCACUCAACCGCGAGUGAAGGGUACUAUGUACUGUUGGGCUAAGUUCAAACUGGAAUCAGGGCCAUUGCUUAUUUUCAUUGAUAGUUUUGGCAGUUCCAACAUCAAUACUUACAGUCGCUGAGUCAUUGGGGCAUGUUGUCCUUGGAUGGCGCAGUGUGCCAACUGAUAAUACAGGCUUAGGCAAGUCAGCUCUUGAGACAGAGCCAGUAAUUGAACAAGUGUUUCUCACCAUAAGUCCAUGAUCAAAUGCCAACUUUGAGCAACAGGUCCUUUAAUUCUUCAAUUCUUGGGGCUGAUAUGGGAAAAGAUUCUUUAAACUAUGUUGGCCUUUAUUUCCUUUGACAAAUGCAGAUGUACAUAUUGCGGAGGGUCUCUAUGGUUGCUAUUCGAGCUGCACAAAUUUGAAGCAUGGUGGAAUGAGGGAUUUAUAUAUAUAUGUUCCUUGUCAUCGGGGU